CACUCGAAGCAUCGAACAGAUCGUCUUUUCUGAGAGUGCUAAUCAUGAUGAAGGAUCUAGAUGGCUGAUGGAGACAUCUUUCUUUAGAUCAAAUAGACACCUCCAGAUCAAAAGAGAGAUCUUUUCAAGGAAGAGAUGGUGUGGAAGAACAAAAACAAAAUCUUUUUUAUUUUUCUCUCUCAUAAAAUAGAAAUUAGAAAACCCUAGAACCCUGACCUAGAUCUCAUGCCCCA
rnacentral:lncRNA from 1 species